rfam:Arabis alpina cultivar Pajares chromosome 4, whole genome shotgun sequence.
AAACCGUGGUGAGGGCAAUCCCUCUGAUAACCCUUGAAGUGUUCCCAUGAAGCCUUGUAUGCUUCAGUUGGAUCCUGAACAAAAGUGGAGAUCUUUGCUCUCAAAUC